AGCUAUGUAGUCAUCGCGAAGGGCGACGAUCGAGAGCUUUACAUAUUUUAUUUUUUUUUUGGUUCACAACUUCAUUCUUAACAUCAAAGUCGUACCUAUAAUCACAUUCGAUUUAAAAAAAUAAAUUUUAAAAUAAUAAUAUAUAAAUUUACGUUACGCAAAGGCAAAAUAUUUGUUUCUAGUUUAAUUUCUUCUUGCUGGUAUAUUAGUUUAAGUUUAAAUUUCAAAAUAUAGAUUUAUUAAAUUUAGUUAAAGUAUUAGUUUAUUAUUUGCGAUGCACUUACAAAUCGUUUUAGUAUAGUAUCAAAUAUUUAACUCAUUUAAACAAACACACACUUAAAUUAAGAAAAAAUGUUGGCAUAUUCUCGGAUGAAAUCGCACUAGAUUUAAGAAUAAAUUUCUCUUUUUAUGAAAAAUAGCCCAAAAAACUAUUUUUUGUGGUGAUUUAUCUAAUAUUUAGGAAUAUUUCCUAGUAUUUAUAAAAAUAUUUUUAUGAGUGUAGAAAGCACAGAAAAAGUUUGUGGAAAGCUCGCCAUCGCUCUGCGGAGCUCUCUUCAAAUGUUAUUAAUUGUCGGGUCAGGGGUCCCUCAAAAUCAGAUUAACAUCGACUGAUUCAUGAGCUAGGUUCACCAAUUGAACAGUCGUAAGAGAUGCGGCGUCUUCUCACGAUCAUCUUCGUGGCAGAAGAGUUUCGGGGAAGACAAACUCUUGUUGAGCGCCUCUGACGCAGCACAAAAUCAUCAAAACGUUGAUGAAUCAUGGCCAUCCAGCACACAUUCCAGGCGAUACCAGUAGCCAACGCAGCCAGUUGGAGCGAAAAACAGCAAUGUUAAAAAUGUUUUCGUCUGGGCAAAUACAACUGGAGCACUGCAUACACGAUGUAUUACGAAACCAAAUUAUAAAGUUCUUUAUCAAUAUAAUGCAAGACUCCUAAUCAAAAACUCGAAAGUUUUGUCAAUGAUUCUUGACACUAAAAGUCUUUGAACUAUUUAAAAGUGGACUAUUAUUGAUCUGUGUCAAACAUAAGAUAAAUUGGGUAAUAUUACCAAAUAAUGCUCAAUACAUUAGCACUUGCCUGAAUACCUUGGGGCUGAUUGUCAAGACGACAUUGAAAUGUGAAAACUUAACAAAUAAAGAAUACGAACAACA